AGAGUUUGAUCAUGGCUCAGGAUGAACGCUGGCGGCGUGCCUAACACAUGCAAGUCGAACGAGAAACUAACCUCUGAUUCCUUCGGGAUGAUGAGGUUGGUAGAAAGUGGCGAACGGGUGGGUAACGCGUGGGUAAUCUACCCCGUUUAAGUGGGGGAUAACCCUCCGAAAGGAGGGCUAAUACCGCAUAAUAUCUUCUCCUCCUAAGAAGAGAAGAUUAAAGAUGGCCUCUAUACUAUGCUAUCACUUCAGGAUGAGCCUGCGUCCUAUUAGUUAGUUGGUGGGGUAAUGGCCUACCAAGACCACAAUGGGUAGCCGGUCUGAGAGGAUGUACGGCCACACUGGGACUGAGAUACGGCCCAGACUCCUACGGGAGGCAGCAGUGGGGAAUAUUGCGCAAUGGGGGAAACCCUGACGCAGCGACGCCGCGUGGAUGAUGAAGGCCCUUGGGUUGUAAAAUCCUGUUCUGGGGGAAGAAAGCUUAAGAGUCCAAUAAACCCUUAAGCCUGACGGUACCCCAAGAGAAAGCUCCGGCUAAUUAUGUGCCAGCAGCCGCGGUAAUACAUAAGGAGCAAGCGUUAUCCGGAAUUAUUGGGCGUAAAGAGCUCGUAGGCGGUCUUAAAAGUCAGGUGUGAAAUUAACAGGCU
rnacentral:rRNA from 1 species